rnacentral:rRNA from 1 species
GACGAACGCUGGCGGCGUGCUUAACACAUGCAAGUCGAACGGAAAGGCCCCUUUGUGGGUCCUCUAGUGGCGAACGGGUGUGUAACACUUCAUUAACCUGCCCUUGACUUCCUGAUAACUUCAGUAAACUGGGGCUAAUACCGGAUAGGAAUCCUUGCUUCAUGUUUGGGGUUGGUAAGCUUCGGCGGUUUUGGAUGGACUCGCUGCUUAUCAGCUUGUUUGUGGGGUAUUGGCUUACCAAGGCUUUGACGGGUAGCCGGACUGAGAGGGCGAACGGCCACAAUGGGACUGAGAUACGGCCCAGAAUCCUACGGGAGGCAGCAGUGGGGAAUAUUGCACAAUGGGAGGAAGCAUGAUGAAGCAACGCCGCGGGCGGGAUGAAGGCCUUCGGGUUGUAAACAGCGUUGAGCAGGGGCGAAGAUUUAGUGACGGUACCUGAAGAAGAAGCACCGGCUAACUACGUG